rnacentral:rRNA from 1 species
UACGAAGGGGGCUAGCGUUGCUCGGAAUCACUGGGCGUAAAGCGCACGUAGGCGGAUUGUUAAGUCAGGGGUGAAAUCCUGGAGCUCAACUCCAGAACUGCCUUUGAUACUGGCGAUCUCGAGUCCGGGAGAGGUGAGUGGAACUGCGAGUGUAGAGGUGAAAUUCGUAGAUAUUCGCAAGAACACCAGUGGCGAAGGCGGACUCACUGGCCCGGUA